UACGUAGGGACCAAGCGUUGUUCGGAUUUACUGGGCGUAAAGGGCGCGUAGGCGGCGUGGUAAGUCACUUGUGAAAUCUCCGAGCUUAACUCGGAACGGUCAAGUGAUACUGCUGUGCUAGAGUGCAGAAGGGGCAAUCGGAAUUCUUGGUGUAGCGGUGAAAUGCGUAGAUAUCAAGAGGAACACCUGAGGUGAAGACGGGUUGCUGGGCUGACACUGACGCUGAGGCGCGAAAGCCAGGGGAGCGAACGGG
rnacentral:rRNA from 1 species